AACGAACGCUGGCGGCAUGCCUAACACAUGCAAGUCGAACGAGACCUUCGGGUCUAGUGGCGCACGGGUGCGUAACGCGUGGGAAACUGCCCUUAGGUUCGGAAUAACUUCCCGAAAGGGGUGCUAAUACCGGAUAAUGUCUUCGGACCAAAGAUUUAUCGCCUUUGGAUGGGCCUGCGUUGGAUUAGCUAGUUGGUAGGGUAAAAGCCUACCAAGGCGACGAUCCAUAGCUGGUCUGAGAGGAUGAUCAGCCACACUGGGACUGAGACACGGCCCAGACUCCUACGGGAGGCAGCAGUGGGGAAUAUUGGACAAUGGGCGAAGGCAUGAUCCAGCAAGGCCGCGUGAGUGAUGAAAGCCUUAGGGUUGUAAAGCUCUUUUACCCGGGAUGAUAAUGACAGUACCGGGAGAAUAAGCUCCGGCUAACUCCGUG
rnacentral:rRNA from 1 species